rnacentral:rRNA from 1 species
GAUGAACGCUGGCGGCGUGCCUAAUACAUGCAAGUCGAGCGAAUGGAUUAAGAGCUUGCUCUUAUGAAGUUAGCGGCGGACGGGUGAGUAACACGUGGGUAACCUGCCCAUAAGACUGGGAUAACUCCGGGAAACCGGGGCUAAUACCGGAUAACAUUUUGAACCGCAUGGUUCGAAACUGAAAGGCGGCUUCGGCUGUCACUUAUGGAUGGACCCGCGUCGCAUUAGCUAGUUGGUGAGGUAACGGCUCACCAAGGCAACGAUGCGUAGCCGACCUGAGAGGGUGAUCGGCCACACUGGGACUGAGACACGGCCCAGACUCCUACGGGAGGCAGCAGUAGGGAAUCUUCCGCAAUGGACGAAAGUCUGACGGAGCAACGCCGCGUGAGUGAUGAAGGCUUUCGGGUCGUAAAACUCUGUUGUUAGGGAAGAACAAGUGCUAGUUGAAUAAGCUGACACCUUGACGGUACCUAACCAGAAAGCCACGGCUAACUACGUGCCAGCCGCCGCGGUAA